rnacentral:rRNA from 1 species
UACGUAGGGGGCAAGCGUUGUCCGGAUUUACUGGGCGUAAAGAGCGUGUAGGCGGCCAAGCAGGUCCGUUGUGAAAACUGGAGGCUUAACCUCCAGACGUCGACGGAAACCGCGUGGCUAGAGUCCGGAAGAGGAGAGUGGAAUUCCUGGUGUAGCGGUGAAAUGCGCAGAUAUUAGGAAGAACACCAGUGGCGAAGGCGGCUCACUGGUCCGGUACUGACGCUGAGGUGCGAAAGCGUGGGGAGCAAACAGG